rnacentral:rRNA from 1 species
UCGAACGGUAGCACAGAGAGCUUGCUCUUGGGUGACGAGUGGCGGACGGGUGAGUAAUGUCUGGGAAACUGCCCGAUGGAGGGGGAUAACUACUGGAAACGGUAGCUAAUACCGCAUAACGUCGCAAGACCAAAGUGGGGGACCUUCGGGCCUCACACCAUCGGAUGUGCCCAGAUGGGAUUAGCUAGUUGGUGAGGUAAUGGCUCACCAAGGCGACGAUCCCUAGCUGGUCUGAGAGGAUGACCAGCCACACUGGAACUGAGACACGGUCCAGACUCCUACGGGAGGCAGCAGUGGGGAAUAUUGCACAAUGGGCGCAAGCCUGAUGCAGCCAUGCCGCGUGUAUGAAGAAGGCCUUCGGGUUGUAAAGUACUUUCAGCGAGGAGGAAGGCAUUGUGGUUAAUAACCGCAGUGAUUGACGUUACUCGCAGAAGAAGCACCGGCUAACUCCGUGCCAGCAGCCGCGGUAAUACGGAGGGUGCAAGCGUUAAUCGGAAUUACUGGGCGUAAAGCGCACGCAGGCGGUCUGUCAAGUCGGAUGUGAAAUCCCCGGGCUCAACCUGGGAACUGCAUUCGAAACUGGCAGGCUAGAGUCUUGUAGAGGGGGGUAGAAUUCCAGGUGUAGCGGUGAAAUGCGUAGAGAUCUGGAGGAAUACCGGUGGCGAAGGCGGCCCCCUGGACAAAGACUGACGCUCAGGUGCGAAAGCGUGGGGAGCAAACAGGAUUAGAUACCCUGGUAGUCCACGCCGUAAACGAUGUCUAUUUGAAGGUUGUUCCCUUGAGGAGUGGCUUUCGGAGCUAACGCGUUAAAUAGACCGCCUGGGGAGUACGGCCGCAAGGUUAAAACUCAAAUGAAUUGACGGGGGCCCGCACAAGCGGUGGAGCAUGUGGUUUAAUUCGAUGCAACGCGAAGAACCUUACCUACUCUUGACAUCCACAGAAUUUGCUAGAGAUACCUUAGUGCCUUCGGGAACUCUGAGACAGGUGCUGCAUGGCUGUCGUCAGCUCGUGUUGUGAAAUGUUGGGUUAAGUCCCGCAA